rnacentral:SRP_RNA from 1 species
UUUUUCUAGAUUAUAAACCAAAAGCUCAUUUAUAUCUUCGUCGUCUUCUAUUACAUAAACAAGAGGCAUUUUUAACCUUUUCACAAUUUUUUAUCGGGUCCUUCCGAAUAGGAGCCGGUGAACCCCGCCAGGCCCGGAAGGGAGCAACGGUAAGCCGAGCUUCCUAUGUCGGAAGGUAACCCGAUAAAAAAUUGUGAAAAGGUUAAAAAUGCCUCUUGUUUAUGUAAUAGAAGACGACGAAGA